UUGCUACUCCCUCCGUCCCAUAUUAAGUGACUCAAAUUUGCCCAACUAUGGAUGUAUCUGUGACUAAACAGUGUCUAGAUACAUGUAAUAGAAAGUCACUUAAUAUGGGACGGAGCGAGUAUAUA
rfam:Brachypodium distachyon strain Bd21 chromosome 1, whole genome shotgun sequence.